rnacentral:tRNA from 1 species
GGGGUUGUGGCUCAGAGGCAGAGCACUUGCCUAGCAAGUGUGAGGCACUGGGUUCAAUCCUCAGCACCA